GACGAACGCUGGCGGCGUGCCUAAUACAUGCAAGUUGAGCGCUGAAGGUUGGUACUUGUACCAACUGGAUGAGCAGCGAACGGGUGAGUAACGCGUGGGUAAUCUGCCUUUGAGCGGGGGACAACAUUUGGAAACGAAUGCUAAUACCGCAUAAAAACUUUAAACACAAGUUUUAAGUUUGAAAGAUGCAAUUGCAUCACUCAAAGAUGAUCCCGCGUUGUAUUAGCUAGUUGGUGAGGUAAAGGCUCACCAAGGCGAUGAUACAUAGCCGACCUGAGAGGGUGAUCGGCCACAUUGGGACUGAGACACGGCCCAAACUCCUACGGGAGGCAGCAGUAGGGAAUCUUCGGCAAUGGACGAAAGUCUGAACGAGCAACGCCGCGUGAGUGAAGAAGGUUUUCGGAUCGUAAAACUCUGUUGGUAGAGAAGAACGUUGGUGAGAGUGGAAAGCUCAUCAAGUGACGGUAACUACCCAGAAAGGGACGGCUAACUACGUG
rnacentral:rRNA from 1 species